rnacentral:rRNA from 1 species
GACGAACGCUGGCGGCGUGCCUAAUAAAUGCAAGUUGAGCGCUGAGGGUUGUUACUUGUACCAACUGGAUGAGCAGCGAACGGGGGAGUAACGCGUGGGAAAUCUCCCUUUGAGCGGGGGACAACAUUUGGAAACGAAUGUUAAUACCGCUUAAAAACUUUAAAAACAAGUUUUAAGUUUAAAAGAUGCAAUUGCAUACCUAAAAAAUAUUCCCGCGUUGUAUUAGUUAGUUGGUGAGGUAAAGGCUAACCAAGGCGAUGAUACAUAGCCGACCUGAGAGGGUGAUCGGCCACAUUGGGACUGAGACACGGCCCAAACUCCUACGGGAGGCAGCAGUAGGGAAUCUUCGGCAAUGGACGAAAGUCUGACCGAGCAACGCCGCGUGAGUGAAGAAGGUUUUCGGAUCGUAAAACUCUGUUGGUAGAGAAGAACGUUGGUGAGAGUGGAAAGCUCAUCAAGUGACGGUAACUACCCAGAAAGGGACGGCUAACUACGUG